rnacentral:rRNA from 1 species
AUGAUGAACGCUAGCUACAGGCUUAACACAUGCAAGUCGAGGGGCAGCAUUUUAGUUUGCUUGCAAACUGAAGAUGGCGACCGGCGCACGGGUGAGUAACACGUAUCCAACCUGCCGAUAACUCCGGGAUAGCCCUUCGAAAGAAAGAUUAAUACCGGAUAGCAUACGAAUAUCGCAUGAUAUUUUUAUUAAAGAAUUUCGGUUAUCGAUGGGGAUGCGUUCCAUUAGUUUGUUGGCGGGGUAACGGCCCACCAAGACUACGAUGGAUAGGGGUUCUGAGAGGAAGGUCCCCCACAUUGGAACUGAGACACGGUCCAAACUCCUACGGGAGGCAGCAGUGAGGAAUAUUGGUCAAUGGGCGCGAGCCUGAACCAGCCAAGUAGCGUGAAGGAUGAAGGCUCUAUGGGUCGUAAACUUCUUUUAUAUGGGAAUAAAGUUUUCCACGUGUGGAAUUUUGUAUGUACCAUAUGAAUAAGGAUCGGCUAACUCCGUGCCAGCAGCCGCGGUAAUACGGAGGAUCCGAGCGUUAUCCGGAUUUAUUGGGUUUAAAGGGAGCGUAGGUGGAUUGUUAAGUCAGUUGUGAAAGUUUGCGGCUCAACCGUAAAAUUGCAGUUGAAACUGGCAGUCUUGAGUACAGUAGAGGUGGGCGGAAUUCGUGGUGUAGCGGUGAAAUGCUUAGAUAUCACGAAGAACUCCGAUUGCGAAGGCAGCUCACUAGACUGUCACUGACACUGAUGCUCGAAAGUGUGGGUAUCAAACAGGAUUAGAUACCCUGGUAGUCCACACAGUAAACGAUGAAUACUCGCUGUUUGCGAUAUACAGUAAGCGGCCAAGCGAAAGCAUUAAGUAUUCCACCUGGGGAGUACGCCGGCAACGGUGAAACUCAAAGGAAUUGACGGGGGCCCGCACAAGCGGAGGAACAUGUGGUUUAAUUCGACGAUACGCGAGGAACCUUACCCGGGCUUAAAUUGCAACAGAAUAUAUUGGAAACAGUAUAGCCGUAAGGCUGUUGUGAAGGUGCUGCAUGGUUGUCGUCAGCUCGUGCAGUGAGGUGUCGGCUUAAGUGCCAUAACGAGCGCAACCCUUAUCUUUAGUUACUAACAGGUCAUGCUGAGGACUCUAGAGAGACUGCCGUCGUAAGAUGUGAGGAAGGUGGGGAUGACGUCAAAUCAGCACGGCCCUUACGUCCGGGGCUACACACGUGUUACAAUGGGGGGUACAGAAGGCGGCUACCUGGUGACAGGAUGCUAAUCCCAAAAACCUCUCUCAGUUCGGAUCGAAGUCUGCAACCCGACUUCGUGAAGCUGGAUUCGCUAGUAAUCGCGCAUCAGCCAUGGCGCGGUGAAUACGUUCCCGGGCCUUGUACACACCGCCCGUCAAGCCAUGAAAGCCGGGGGUACCUGAAGUACGUAACCGCAAGGAGCGUCCUAGGGUAAAACUGGUA